rnacentral:rRNA from 1 species
UCUGGUUGAUCCUGCCUGAACUGAUGUGUUCAUUUCAAAGAUUAAGCCAUGCAUGUAUGUUUAAUCGUUUUAACGAGAAACCGCGAACGGCUCAUUACAAUGGCCAUGAUUUACUUGAUCUUGAUUAUCUAAAUGGAUAACUGUGGAAAAGCUAGAGCUAAUACAUGCACCAAAGCUUUGUCCUCUCGGAAAAGCGCAUUUAUUAGAACAAAACCACGCGGCUUCGGCUGCUUCUUGUUGACUCAGAAUAACUAAGCUGACCGCAUGGCCUUGUGCCGGCGGCGUGUCUUUCAAGCGUCCACUUUAUCAACUUGACGGGAGCAUAAUCGACUCCCGUGGUGGUGACGGAUAACGGAGGAUCAGGGUUCGACUCCGGAGAAGGGGCCUGAGAAAUGGCCACUACGUCUAAGGAUGGCAGCAGGCGCGCAAAUUACCCACUCUCGGCUCGAGGAGGUAGUGACGAGAAAUAACGAGAUCGUUCUCUUUGAGGCCGGUCAUCGGAAUGGGUACAAUUUAAACCCUUUAACGAGUAUCAAGCAGAGGGCAAGUCUGGUGCCAGCAGCCGCGGUAAUUCCAGCUCUGCUAAUACAUAGAAUUAUUGCUGCGGUUAAAAAGCUCGUAGUUGGAUUCGUAUCGGUACCCUUGAACCCUCCGGGUGUUUCUGGGUGUUAUCGAUUUAUCGUAAUGUUCGGUUUUGAGUCCUUAACAGGAUUCUUAACAGGCAUUGCAAGUUUACUUUGAACAAAUCAGAGUGCUUCAAACAGGCGUUUUCGCUUGAAUGAUCGUGCAUGGAAUAAUAGAAAACGAUUUCGGUUCAGUUUUAUUGGUUUUACGGACUGAGAUAAUGGUUAACAGAGACAAACGGGGGCAUUUGUAUGGCCCCGUGAGAGGUGAAAUUCUUGGACCGUGGCCAGACAAACUACAGCGAAAGCAUUUGCCAAGAAUGUCUUCAUUAAUCAAGAACGAAAGUCAGAGGUUCGAAGGCGAUCAGAUACCGCCCUAGUUCUGACCGUAAACGAUGCCAACUAGCGAUCCGCCGAUGGAAAUUAUAUUGCCUUGGUGGGGAGCUUCCCGGAAACGAAAGUCUUCCGGUUCCGGGGAAGUAUGGUUGCAAAGCUGAAACUUAAAGGAAUUGACGGAAGGGCACCACCAGGAGUGGAGCCUGCGGCUUAAUUUGACUCAACACGGGGAAACUCACCCGGCCCGGACACUGUGAGGAUUGACAGAUUGAUAGCUUUUUCAUGAUUCAGUGGAUGGUGGUGCAUGGCCGUUCUUAGUUCGUGGAGUGAUUUGUCUGGUUUAUUCCGAUAACGAGCGAGACUCUAACCUACUAAAUAGCUGGUACAUAAUUUAAGUGUAUACAGCUUCUUAGAGGGAUUUGCGGUGUUCAGCCGAAAGAAAUUGAGCAAUAACAGGUCUGUGAUGCCCUUAGAUGUCCGGGGCUGCACGCGCGCUACACUGGCAAAAUCAACGUGCUUGUCCUACCCCGAAAGGGGCGGGUAAACCAUUGAAAAUUUGCCGUGAUUGGGAUCGGAAAUUGCAAUUAUUUUCCGUGAACGAGGAAUUCCAAGUAAGUGCGAGUCAUCAGCUCGCGUUGAUUACGUCCCUGCCCUUUGUACACACCGCCCGUCGCUGCCCGGGACUGAGCCAUUUCGAGAAAUUUGGGACCGUUGAUUUAAUUUUUCUAAAUUACUUUGAUGGAAACCAAUUUAAUCGCAGUGGCUUGAACCGGGCAAAAGUCGUAACAAGGUAGCUGUAGGUGAACCUGCUGCUG